CAAGACCAGUUAACCCACUGUUCCUAGACCAGUUAACCCACUGUUCCUAGACCAGUUAACCCACUGUUCCUAGACCAGUUAACCCACUGUUCCUAGACCAGUUAACCCACUGUUCCUAGGCCGUCAUUGUAAAUAAUAAUUUGUUCUUAACUGACUUGCCUUGUUAAAUAAAGGUUGAAUACAAAUGUAAAUGUACCUGACCAAACCAUAAUCACACAGGGAUGCUGGUCUUCCACAAACUUACAAACGUGCGCACGCACACGGCUAGCAUGCACAUUGAAAACAGCACCCUAGGUUGGGGGUCAUAGGGGAAACCAAUAUCCCUUCCUCCCCAUUCUAUUUCUCUCUCUCUUCCUCCCUGUUUCUCAUCAACACUGUCAUCUUCUCUGCAAUACUGAUAGUAUAGACUGACAGGACAGGAGACAGUGGAAUACAGUAACCCAGCCAUGUUGGAAUACAGUAACCCAGCCAUGUUGGAAUACAGUAACCCAGCCAUGUUGGAAUACAGUAACCCAGCCAUGUAGGAAUACAGUAACCCAGCCAUAUUAGAAAACAGUAACCCAGCCAUGUAGGAAUACAGUAACCCAGCCAUGUAGGAAUACAGUAACCCAGCCAUGUAGGAAUACAGUAACCCAGCCAUGUAGGAAUACAGUAACCCAGCCAUGUUAGAAUACAGUAACCCAGCCAUGUUGGAAUACAGUAACCCAGCCAUGUUAGAAUACAGUAACCCAGCCAUGUUGGAAUACAGUAACCCAGCCAUGUUAGAAUACAGUAACCCAGCCAUGUUAGAAUACAGUAACCCAGCCAUGUUGGAAUACAGUAACCCAGCCAUGUUGGAAUACAGUAACCCAGCCAUGUUAGAAUACAGUAACCCAGCCAUGUUGGAAUACAGUAACCCAUCCGUGUUGGAAUACAGUAACCCAGCCAUAUUAGAAUACAGUAACCCAGCCAUAUUAGAAUACAGUAACCCAGCCAUAUUAGAAUACAGGAACCCAGCCAUGUUAGAAUACAGUAACCCAGCCAUGUAGGAAUACAGUAACCCAGCCCCGUGUUAGAAUACAGUAACCCAGCCAUAUUAGAAUACAGUAACCCAGCUAUAUUAAAUACAGUAACCCAGCUGUGUUAGAAUACAGUAACCCAGCCUUGUUAGAAUACAGUAACCAGCCAUGUUGGAAUACAGUAACCCAUCCGUGUUAGAAUACAGUAACCCAGCCAUGUUGGAAUACAGUAACCCAUCCGUGUUAGAAUACAGAACCCAUCCAUAUUAGAAUACAGUAACCCAGC
ensembl:lncRNA